rnacentral:rRNA from 1 species
UAAUACGAAGGGACCUAGCGUAGUUCGGAAUUACUGGGCUUAAAGAGUUCGUAGGUGGUUGAAAAAGUUGGUGGUGAAAUCCCAGAGCUUAACUCUGGAACUGCCAUCAAAACUUUUCAGCUAGAGUAUGAUAGAGGAAAGCAGAAUUUCUAGUGUAGAGGUGAAAUUCGUAGAUAUUAGAAAGAAUACCAAUUGCGAAGGCAGCUUUCUGGAUCAUUACUGACACUGAGGAACGAAAGCAUGGGUAGCGAAGAGGAUUAGAUACCCUCGUAGUCCAUGUCGUAAACGAUGUGUGUUAGACGUUGGAAAUUUAUUUUCAGUGUCGCAGCGAAAGCGAUAAACACACCGCCUGGGGAGUACGACCGCAAGGUUAAAACUCAAAUGAAUUGACGGGGACCCGCACAAGUAGUGGAGCAUGUGGUUUAAUUCGAAGAUACGCGCAGAACCUUACCAACACUUGACAUGUUCGUCGCGACUUUAAGAGAUUAAAGUUUUCGGUUCGGCCGGACGAAACACAGGUGCUGCAUGGCUGUCGUCAGCUCGUGUCGUGAGAUGUUGGGUUAAGUCCCGCAACGAGCGCAACCCUCACUUUUAGUUGCCAUCAUUAAGUUGGGCACUCUGAAAGAACUGCCAGUGAUAAGCUGGAGGAAGGUGGGGAUGACGUCAAGUCCUCAUGGCCCUUACGUGUUGGGCUACACACGUGCUACAAUGGUAUCUACAACAGGAAGCAAGACUGCGAAGUUAAGCAAAUCCUAAAAAGAUACCUCAGUUCGGAUUGCACUCUGCAACUCGAGUGCAUGAAGCUGGAAUUACUAGUAAUCGUGGAUCAGCGUGCCACGGUGAAUGCGUUCCCGGGUCUUGUACACACCGCCCGUCACACCAUGGAAGUUGGUUACACCUUAAGGCAGAGCUUAUACCUCUGACUACGGUACGAUCAGCAACUGGGGUGAAGUCGUAACAAGGUAGCCG